CCCCACACGCUGUACAGUGCCUCUCCUUCCCAGGACAUCUGGCCCUGCAUGAUCUUCAGUCUGCCCAUGUCUGUCCUGUCCAGGCUGGUUGGCGGACAAAGCAGAUGGACGCCCCAUCUUGUGGUCUAGGAGGUUGAUUGAAACGUUCCUUCCUGCUGGUCUGACUCCCACAAACCAAGCCAGGAUCUCUCCUACCUGAGCACUUGAUCCUGGUGUCAGGCCUCAGGCCAUAGGACGUCAGCCCUCGAGCUCUACACCCAUUCUCCAGGGUUAGCCGGGCUACACAGAAUCAAGCCAAAUUACACAGGAUCAAGUGGGGCUACACAGGAUCAAGCCAGGCUACAUGGAAUCAAGCCUGUUUAUACUUUCCCCAUCCUGGAGCCUUCUCUGGCUUCGCCCUUAACUGAUGUAAGUCUGGCCACACAGUCACCAAAUCUGCCAGUCCUCCUGGGUCCCCACACGCUGUGCAGUGCCUCUCCUUCCCAGGACAUCUGCCAGGACCAGAAACGUUUCUUUCCUCUUUCAUUUCCGUGUGUUUUUCUCUGGAGUUGGCCUCUCUUUGCUCCUACUUGAUCAGCUCUCUAAAUUAAGACCCAGUCAGAGGAAAACAAAUGUUCAGGAUGAUUUUCAAAGAUACAGUCAUUUCAUUGCUAAAAACCAUUGCAGUGCAUGUUUUAAUGCAAUUCCUGGUGGCGUUUCUCAUGGAAAAGUUGAUAAUAAUUUUGCCAGAGAAAUUCUUAGGGUAUCUAGACGACGCUUCGAUGAUGACAUGUAUAAAACAGAUGUUCGGUGAUAUGAUAAAACAUGUUCUUCUGUUUCUGGUGAGAAUGAUUGUGGCUGCUUUGCCAAAGGAAUUCAUAGUAUAUCCAGACAACACCUCAACGAAGACAUGUAUAAAGCCGAUGUUCACUGAUAUGAUAAAACAUGUUCUUAUGUUCCUUCUGAGAACCAUUGCAGCUAUUUUGUUGAAGAAAUUUAUAGUGUAUCCAGAUGAUACCUUGACGAUGACGUGUAUAGAAUGGAUGUUCGCUGAUAUGAUAAAACAUGUUCUUAUGUUCCUUCUGAGAACAAUUGCGGCUACUUUAUUGAAGAAAUUCGUAGUAUAUCCAGACGAUGUCUCGAUGAUGAUGUGUAUAAAACGGAUGUUCGCUGAUAUGAUAAAACACGUUCCUUUGUUUCUGGUGAGAAUCAUUGUAGCUGCUCUGCUGAAGAAAUUCUCAGUGUAUCUAGACGAUGCCUUGAUAAUGAUGUAUGUAGAACAGAUAUGCGACAAUAUGAUAAAACAUGUUCUUAUGUUUCU